rnacentral:tRNA from 2 species
GGAAGUGAGUCGUCUCCGGUGAGGCGGCAGGACUUCAAAUCCUGUUGAGGACGCCAGCGUUCUUGGGUGGGUUCGACUCCCAUUCACUUCCGCCA